rnacentral:rRNA from 1 species
GCUGACGAGCGGCGGACGGGUGAGUAAUGCAUAGGAAUCUGCCCGAUAGUGGGGGAUAACCUGGGGAAACCCAGGCUAAUACCGCAUACGUCCUACGGGAGAAAGGGGGCUCCGGCUCCCGCUAUGGGAUGAGCCUAUGUCGGAUUAGCUAGUUGGUGAGGUAACGGCUCACCAAGGCCACGAUCCGUAGCUGGUCUGAGAGGAUGAUCAGCCACAUCGGGACUGAGACACGGCCCGAACUCCUACGGGAGGCAGCAGUGGGGAAUAUUGGACAAUGGGGGAAACCCUGAUCCAGCCAUGCCGCGUGUGUGAAGAAGGCCCUCGGGUUGUAAAGCACUUUCAGCGAGGAAGAACGCCUAGCGGUUAAUACCCGCUAGGAAAGACAUCACUCGCAGAAGAAGCACCGGCUAACUCCGUGCCAGCAGCCGCGGUAAUACGGAGGGUGCAAGCGUUAAUCGGAAUUACUGGGCGUAAAGCGCGCGUAGGUGGCUUGAUAAGCCGGUUGUGAAAGCCCCGGGCUCAACCUGGGAACGGCAUCCGGAACUGUCAAGCUAGAGUGCAGGAGAGGAAGGUAGAAUUCCCGGUGUAGCGGUGAAAUGCGUAGAGAUCGGGAGGAAUACCAGUGGCGAAUGCGGCCUUCUGGACUGAGACUGACACUGAGGUGCGAAAGCGUG